ACUGCAGUCUGCAACUCGACNGCACGAAGCUGGAAUCGCUAGUAAUCGCGGAUCAGCACGCCGCGGUGAAUACGUUCCCGGGCCUUGUACACACCGCCCGUCACACCAUGGAAGUCUGCAAUGCCCGAAGCCGGUGGCCUAACCACUUAUGUGGAAGGAGCCGUCUAAGGCAGGGCAGAUGACUGGGGUGAAGUCGUAACAAGGUAGC
rnacentral:rRNA from 1 species